rnacentral:rRNA from 1 species
AGAAUCAACGCUGGCGGCGUGCCUAACACAUGCAAGUCGCACGAGAAAGGGUAGCAAUACCUGAGUAAAGUGGCGCACGGGUGAGUAACACGUGACUAAUCUACCCUCGAGUGGGGAAUAAACUGAGAGAAAUCUUAGCUAAUACCGCAUAACACCUACGAGUCAAAGCAGCAAUGCGCUUGGGGAGGAGGUCGCGGCCGAUUAGCUAGUUGGCGGGGUAAUGGCCCACCAAGGCGAUGAUCGGUA